GGAAGGGGGAAGGGGUCAGAGAAGCCUGGCUGGAGAAAGGAGCAGCUGACCUGUGAUUUGGAAAGAUGAUGCCAGUUUGCGAGAAAGACAGAAGGUGUAGAUGUUCCAGGUAGAGGGAACAGCUUGUGCGAAGUCUCAACCUCCAGUACCUCACGAUGUGGCAAUGUUUGGAGAUACGGCCCUGAAAGAGGUAAUCAAGCUACCAUGAGGCCCCUCCGGUGGGCCCUGAUAUGAUAUGGCUGGUGAACUUGUAAGAGCAAAUCCGGACACAAACACAGAGAGAUGACCAUGUGAGAACUCAGGCGGAAGACAGCCAUCUGUAAGCCAGGAGAGGACCCAGGAGAAACCGCUCCUGCUGACACCUCCAUGUCCAAUUUCCAGCCUCCAGAACUGUUGAGAAAAUAAAUUGCUAUUGUUGAAGCUA